rnacentral:rRNA from 1 species
AGUGAACGCUGGCGGUAGGCCUAACACAUGCAAGUCGAACGGCAGCACAGUAAGAGCUUGCUCUUACGGGUGGCGAGUGGCGGACGGGUGAGGGAUACAUCGGAAUCUACUUUUUCGUGGGGGAUAACGUAGGGACAAUUACGCUAAUACCGCAUACGACCUACGGGUGAAAGCAGGGGAUCUUCGGACCUUGCGCGAUCGAAUGAGCGGAUGUCAGAUUAGCUAGUUGGCGGGGUAAAGGCCCACCAAGGCGACGAUCCGUAGCUGGUCUGAGAGGAUGAUCAGCCACACUGGAACUGAGACACGGUCCAGACUCCUACGGGAGGCAGCAGUGGGGAAUAUUGGACAAUGGGCGCAAGCCUGAUCCAGCCAUACCGCGUGGGUGAAGAAGGCCUUCGGGUUGUAAAGCCCUUUUGUUGGGAAAGAAAAGCAGCAGGUUAAUACCCCGCUGUAAUGACGGUACCUAAAGAAUAAGCACCGGCUAACUUCGUG